rnacentral:rRNA from 1 species
CCUCCGUUCUUCCGCCGUUCUUACUAUUUUUCAAUUUUCUCUAUCCUUAACCAGCCAAGUAUCGUGAAGGAUGACUGCCCUACGGGUUGUAAACUUCUUUUAUAAAGGAAUAAAGUGAGGCACGUGUGCCUUUUUGUAUGUACUUUAUGAAUAAGGAUCGGCUAACUCCGUGCCAGCAGCCGCGGUAAUACGGAAGGUCCGGGCGUUAUCCGGAUUUAUUGGGUUUAAAGGGAGCGUAGGCCGGUCUUUAAGCGUGCCGUGAAAUUUUGUGGCUCAACCAUGAGAGUGCGGCGCGAACUGGAGACCUUGAGUGCGCGGAAGGCAGGCGGAAUUCGUGGUGUAGCGGUGAAAUGCUUAGAUAUCACGAAGAACCCCGAUUGCGAAGGCAGCCUGCCGCAGCGUUACUGACGCUGAAGCUCGAAAGCGCGGGUAUCGAACAGGAUUAGAUACCCCUGUAGUC